CUCCUCUCUUUUCGGGAACAGAGAAGCUCGAUCCUCGUACUCGGCCUUGACAAUGCCGGCAAAACUACCAUUCUCUAUCGGCUUCAGAUGGGUGAAGUAGUCUCUACAAUUCCAACGAUUGGGUUUAAUGCAGAAACUGUCAAUACAACAACAUCAAGUUUCAAGUAUGGGAUUUAGGCCAUAUUGGAGAUGCUAUUCCCAAAUACACAAGCAAUAAUUAUGUUGUUGAUUCAAUUGACACUGACAGAAUAAGAAUAGCCAAAGAAGAAUUUCAUGCCAUUUUAGAGGAGGAUGAGCUUAAAGGUGCAAUAGUUUAAUUUUUUCAAACAAGCAGGAUCUACCUGUGCACUUGAUGCUGCUGCUGUGACCGAUGCUUUGGAGUUGCACAAAUUAAAAAGUCGUCAGUGGGCAAUAUUUAAAACUUGUGCAGUAAAUGGUGAAGGACUUUUCGAGGCAUGGACCAGUUAAGUAAUACGCUCGAAUCUGGAGGUGGUUAAGUAAUGGCAUGUGACCUUCAUUUUCUUAUCUUGAGAUCGUACAAUAUGAAUUGAUAAUAGAUGGUGUUUAAAACUCGGUUCGGAGUUCGGGAAAU